CUGGAAGUCAUUCAACCUGUUGCAUGAUGAUAAUACUGAAGCUGUUUUGGAUAAUGCGGUUAAUCUGUUAUGCACCUUGAUAGAUUUCUUCCCCUUCACAAUCCAUCGUCAUUAUGACUCUGUAA